AUGGAAAAACAAUUUGCCAUCUCAAAGCUUGGGUCGGACGCGUUCGUGGAGAUGGAGCUCGGGGCGCCGGUGCUCGUCCCGGAUCCCGACGGCGACUUCACCGUCACCGCCUUCGACGCCAACCACUGCCCUGGGGCGGUGAUGUUUCUGUUCGAGGGCGCCUUCGGCAACGUCCUGCACACCGGCGACUGCCGCCUCACUUCUGACUGCAUUCAGGGCCUGCCGUUCAGGUACAUCGCCGCGGAGGCACCAGGAGCAAGUCAGCCACCGCCGUCGUGCCGCAUUGACUACCUCUUCCUGGACUGCACGUUUGCCAAGUGCCCGCUGCAAUUCCCGGCCAAGGAGGCCUCCAUACGUCAGGUGAUCAAUUGCAUCUGGAAGCACCCGAAUGCGCCGACGGUAUAUCUCGUGUCCGACAUGCUGGGACAGGAGGACAUACUGAUCGAGGUGUCCAGGGCGUUCGGGUCGAAGAUAUACGUCGACAGGGACAAGAAUUCAGAGUGCUACCACACCCUCUCGCUCGUCGCACCGGAAAUCCUCACCGAGGACGCGUCCUCUCGCUUUCAGUGGUACGCGCACUAUGCGGCACCAGAGGCGUCGCUGAAGCAGAAGCCGGCGCUGACGGAGCCCAUGCGGGAUGAAUUCGGGGUGUGGCACGUGUGCUUGACGAUGCAUUCGUCUCGCGAGGAGCUGGAGCAGGCCCUGCGAUUCCUCCAGCCUAAGUGGGUCAUCUCGACAACACCUCCUUGCCUUGCCAUGGAUCUGGCCUAUGUCAAGAAACACUGCUUCCUGUCCCGGCUAAGCCCUGAGGACCCCAUCUGGAAGUUGCUCAGAAUACCUCAUGGAAAUCCUACUGUCACAGGCUCACCGCGGGCGGCGAUAACCACCGUAGAAGCCAUCAAGCAGAGUGAGGAACAAGAGUCAGAAGACACUUGGUCUGCUGUUUGCAGCCAGGUAUUACAAGAUGAAGAACCAGUGUUACAAGAUUUUGCAAUUGAAGUGGCGCAGCCUGUGACAUUGUUUGGCAGAGCAAGGUUUGGAUUACCUCAGGACUGUGAACUGUGGAAAGACGAGUAUGAGAGUGUUCAAGUGGCCGAGGAGGCCAAAUUGGAGGAGGAAUUGCAGAAUUCAAAUGCAAAAUCCUUCGAGCUAUGGAAGGACUUCAAAUCUGACAAGGGCACUGCCCACAUGAUUGAUUUAACUCAAGCUGUAACAAACGAGCUUCAUGGUUCAGCAAUAGAACCCGAGUUGCAGGACUGUGAAUCCAUCGACGGCAUUCAAGUAAUCGACAUUACUCACGGUGAAGUGCGUGAGCACAGCUCGAGUAGGGACGGCUGUGCUGAACUUGCCAAGGAUGUGAAAUGCAAUGAGGGUGCAGAACAAAUCAGGUUAUCUAGAUUCGAGGUGAAAGAAGAGAGUUCAACUGCAAGAGCCAAGUUCUUGGAAAUUUGCAAGCCCAGGGAGAGUGUCAAAUUCACCGCUGAGACAGUACAAGCUAAAGUAGAAGCAACAGAAGAACUGCUUUCUGAGGAUCGCACUGUUCUAUCCGACAUUAGCAACAGAUCUGAAGGCCCUGACACUGACAGAGCAGAUACUGCUGGAGUCGGGUCAUCGAAGGUUUUGAAUGCGAAGCUGAGGAGGCUGUACAGGUCGAUGAACGUGGCAGUUCCUCGGCCAUUGCCGUCAUUGGUGGAGCUCAUGGGAGCCUCCAAACGACCAAGGGUCUCCUCCCAGUUUUUUCAUCUAUGA
rnacentral:rRNA from 1 species